rnacentral:rRNA from 1 species
UAGGGAAUAUUGGACAAUGGGUGCGAGCCUGAUCCAGCCAUGCCGCGUGCAGGAAGAAGGCGUUAUGCGUUGUAAACUGCUUUUGCCAGGGGAUAAAAUAACUGUGCGCAGUUGAUUGAAGGUACCUGGUGAAUAAGCCACGGCUAACUACGUGCCAGCAGCCGCGGUAAUACGUAGGUGGCAAGCGUUGUCCGGAUUUAUUGGGUUUAAAGGGUGCGUAGGCGGCCCUGUAAGUCAGUGGUGAAAUAUCUCAGCUUAACUGAGAGGGUGCCAUUGAUACUGCGGGGCUUGAGUACAGAUGAGGUAGGCGGAAUUGACGGUUGUAGCGGUUGAAAUGCAUAGAUAUCGUCAAGACACCGAUAGCGAAGGCAGCUUACCAAGCUGUAACUGACGCUGAGGCAC